GUGAGGAAUAUUGCGCAAUGGAGGCAACUCUGACGCAGCCAUGCCGCGUGCAGGAAGAAGGCGCUACGCGUUGUAAACUGCUUUUAACCGGGAAGAAACCCCAGGACGUGUCCUGGGUUGACGGUACCGGAGGAAUAAGCACCGGCUAACUUCGUGCCAGCAGCCGCGGUAAUACGAAGGGUGCAAGCGUUAUCCGGAUUCAUUGGGUUUAAAGGGUGCGUAGGCGGAGCGUUAAGUCAGUGGUGAAAUCCUGCGGCUUAACUGUGGACUUGCCAUUGAUACUGGCGCGCUUGAGUGCGCUUGAAGUGGGCGGAAUGUGCCGUGUAGCGGUGAAAUGCUUAGAUAUGGCACAGAACACCAAUUGCGAAGGCAGCUCACUAAGGCGAUACUGACGCUGAGGCACGAAAGCGUGGGGAUCGAACAGGAUUAGAUACCCCAGUAGUCC
rnacentral:rRNA from 1 species